rnacentral:misc_RNA from 1 species
AAGUCGUAACAAGGUUUCCGUAGGUGAACCUGCGGAAGGAUCAUUAACACGUUCCACGUAUCAACCCGCGAACAUAAGUGAUUUUUCUUGUCAGAGCGUGAGUGUGAUGUGCCUUUCGAGGUGCAGCCGCUUUCUCUCUCUCUUAUUAACCCAUUUACCACAAUGUACUAAUUCAAAAACUGAUGGCUGGGCGGUGACUGAGAGCAAUCUCUGUCUCCUCGACAUCAAACUUCUAAUUAAGAACAACUCUUAACAACGGAUAUCUUGGCUCUC